rnacentral:rRNA from 1 species
UCCGGAGGGUGCGAGCGUUAAUCGGAAUUACUGGGCGUAAAGCGCACGUAGGUGGUUGGGUAAGUCGGAUGUGAAAGCCCUGGGCUUAACCUGGGAACUGCAUUCGAUACUGCCCGGCUAGAGUAUGGGAGAGGGAAGCGGAAUUUCCGGUGUAGCGGUGAAAUGCGUAGAUAUCGGAAGGAACAUCAAUGGCGAAGGGAGCUUCCUGGCCCAAUACUGACGCUCAGGUGCGAAAGCGUGGGGAUAAAACAGG